rnacentral:misc_RNA from 1 species
GCAAACUUGGUCAUUUAGAGGAAGUAAAAGUCGUAACAAGGUUUCCGUAGGUGAACCUGCGGAAGGAUCAUUAACGAGUCUCAAGCCUUGGCUUGUGCAUUCACUUGCACGCCGAGUCUCUGACUUCACACUCCUGUGCACCUCGGAUCGCCAACGCUCUGUGAGCUGCGGCGGACCGCUCUUUUACACCUUUCUUGUAUGUCUUUGAAUGUGAUUCGGUCGCUCUGUGAUGGAGCGGUCGUGAAAGUAAAUACAACUUUCAGCAACGGAUCUCUUGGCUCUCCCAUCGAUGAAGAACGCAGC